rnacentral:rRNA from 1 species
AUUGAACGCUGGCGGCAGGCCUAACACAUGCAAGUCGAACGAGUGGCGGACGGGUGAGUAAUGUCUGGGAAACUGCCCGAUGGAUGGGGAUACCUACUGGAAACGGUAGCUACUACCGCCUACCAUCUGAUGUGCCCAGAUGGUAUUAGCUAGUAGGUGGGGUAACGGCUCACCUAGUCGACGAUCCCUAGCUGGUCUGAGAGGAUGACCAGCCACACGGGAACUGAGACACGGUCAAGACGCCUACGGGAGGCAGCAGUGGGGAAUAUUGCACAAUGGGCGCAAGCCUGAUGCAGCCAUGCCGCGUGUAUGAAGAAGGCCUUCGGGUUGUAAAGUACUUUCAGCGAGGAGGCGUUACUCGCAGAAGAAGCACCGGCUAACUCCGUGCCAGCAGCCGCGGUAAUAC